rnacentral:rRNA from 1 species
AUUGAACGCUGGCGGCAGGCUUAACACAUGCAAGUCGAGCGGAGAUGAGGUGCUUGCACCUUAUCUUAGCGGCGGACGGGUGAGUAAUGCUUAGGAAUCUGCCUAUUAGUGGGGGACAACAUUCCGAAAGGAAUGCUAAUACCGCAUACGUCCUACGGGAGAAAGCAGGGGAUCUUCGGACCUUGCGCUAAUAGAUGAGCCUAAGUCGGAUUAGCUAGUUGGUGGGGUAAAGGCCUACCAAGGCGACGAUCUAUAGUGGGUCUGAGAGGAUGAUCCGCCACACUGGGACUGAGACACGGCCCAGACUCCUACGGGAGGCAGCAGUGGGGAAUAUUGGACAAUGGGGGGAACCCUGAUCCAGCCAUGCCGCGUGUGUGAAGAAGGCCUUAUGGUUGUAAAGCACUUUAAGCGAGGAGGAGGCUACUGAGACUAAUACUCUUGGAUAGUGGACGUUACUCGCAGAAUAAGCACCGGCUAACUCUGUGCCAGCCGCCGCGGUAAAAC